rnacentral:lncRNA from 1 species
CUAUGUCGAAAACUUAAUUACAAGAGGAGUAGACUAUGCCUAUUUAUAGGCUUGUAAACCUUAUUCUAAUAGGAGUGAAACUCCUUAUUCAAAUAAUAUCAAAUAGAUGGAGUUUAAUAAGGUUUAGAAACCUUAUUCUAAAAUAAAAUAAAAGAAGUAUAAUUCUAUAGGGAUUUUACUUUUAUUUUAUUUUACCACAGUAUUUUAUUUAAAUAAGGAUUUG